rnacentral:rRNA from 1 species
AACGUAGGAGACGAGCGUUAUCCGGAUUUACUGGGCGUAAAGGGCGUGUAGGCGGUGGCUUAAGUUGGACGUGAAAUCUCCCGGCCCAACUGGGAGGGGUCGUCCAAUACUGGGUCACUUGAGGGCAGGAGAGGGAAGUGGAAUUCCCGGUGUAGCGGUGGAAUGCGUAGAUAUCGGGAGGAACACCAGUGGCGAAGGCGGCUUCCUGGUCUGUACCUGACGCUGAGGCGCGAAAGCUAGGGUAGCAAACGGGAUUAGAUACCCCCGUA